AACGAACGCUGGCGGCAGGCCUAACACAUGCAAGUCGAGCGCGCCCUUCGGGGUUAGCGGCGGACGGGCGAGUAACGCGUGGGAACGUGCACUUUUCUACGGUACACCCUCGGGAAACAGAGAGUAAUACCGCAUACGCUCUUUGGGGGUAAGAUUUAUCGGUAAAGGAUCGGCCCGCGUUGGAUUAGGUAGUUGGUGGGGUAAUGGCCUACCAAGCCGACGAUCCAUAGCUGGUUUGAGAGGAUGAUCAGCCACACUGGGACUGAGACACGGCCCAGACUCCUACGGGAGGCAGCAGUGGGGAAUCUUAGACAAUGGGGGCAAGCCUGAUCGAGCCAUGCCGCGUGAGUGAUGAAGGCCUUAGGGUUGUAAAGCUCUUUCAGCUGGGAAGAUAAUGACGGUACCAGCAGAAGAAGCCCCGGCUAACUCCGUG
rnacentral:rRNA from 1 species